GCGGGUAUAGCUCAAUGGCAGAGUUCCGGCUUCCCAAGCCGGCCGUGCGGGUUCGAUCCCCGUUACCCGCU
rnacentral:tRNA from 1 species